CACGAACCGUACAAACGUUAUUCGGAAUUAUUGGGCUUAAAGGGUGCGUAGGCGGCGCUGUAGGUGGGGUGUGAAAUCCCUCGGCUUAACCGAGGAAUUGCGCCCCAAACCACAGUGCUAGAGGGAGACAGAGGUAAGCGGAACUGAUGGUGGAGCGGUGAAAUGCGUUGAUAUCAUCAGGAACACCGGUGGCGAAAGCGGCUUACUGGGUCUCUUCUGACGCUGAGGCACGAAAGCUAGGGUAGCGAACGGG
rnacentral:misc_RNA from 1 species